rnacentral:rRNA from 1 species
ACGUACACUCCUACGGGAGGCAGCAGUGGGGAAUAUUGGACAAUGGGCGAAAGCCUGAUCCAGCAAUGCCGCGUGAGUGAUGAAGGCCUUAGGGUUGUAAAGCUCUUUUACCCGGGAUGAUAAUGACAGUACCGGGAGAAUAAGCCCCGGCUAACUCCGUGCCAGCAGCCGCGGUAAUACGGAGGGGGCUAGCGUUGUUCGGAAUUACUGGGCGUAAAGCGCGCGUAGGCGGCUUUGUAAGUUAGAGGUGAAAGCCCGGAGCUCAACUUCGGAAUUGCCUUUAAGACUGCAUCGCUAGAAUCGUGGAGAGGUGAGUGGAAUUCCGAGUGUAGAGGUGAAAUUCGUAGAUAUUCGGAAGAACACCAGUGGCGAAGGCGACUCACUGGACACGUAUUGACGCUGAGGUGCGAAAGCGUGGGGAGCAAACAGGAUUAGAAACCCUUGUAGUCCCAUGAU